rnacentral:lncRNA from 1 species
CGAAGCUCUAAGUCUCGGUCUCAUUAAAUCACGCGACGACCUCUUUAUCACAACAAAAUUAUGGUGUAGCUUCGCUCAACGAGAUCAAAUUGUUCCUACCUGUAAAAUGAGCCUCCAGUAAGCACAUUUAUGAACUGAAAUUCUUAGUACGUCCAUUAAUUAUAUAAUUAUUGGUACCAAUAAGUUAUAAAUUUCUAUGUAGGAACCUUAAGUUGGACUACGUUGACUUGUACUUAAUACACAUGCCACUGAGGUUGAGUCAAAUGAUACAGAAGACACCAGUUGAUAAAGAAAUCAUACAUCCUUUGGAUAUGAAGGGAGUUUGGGAAGGCAUGGAAGAGUGUCAAAAAUUGGGUCUCACAAAGGCCAUUGGUGUCAGUAAUUUCUCUUGUAAGAAGCUAGAGGAAGUCCUUUCCAUUGCCAAAAUUCCUCCAGCAGUCAAUCAAGUGAGUUUUACUUCCCUCUCCGAAUAC